rnacentral:ribozyme from 14 species
AAAAAAAAAAAAAAAAAAAGGAAAAAAAAAGAAAAAAAGGAACAAGCGACAAA